AAAGCAGGACGCAAUUACAGUGCUAAAUUUUGUGUUUGUACUGCCAUUAUCCUGCUGAGAGUAUUCUUCUGUUAACAGAGAUGUGAGCGUUGUCAUCUUGUAUGACAAGCAAAUGCUCUGUUACAGAGACAGAA